AAAACGUUCCGAAUUAUUUCGAAUGUAUGAUAGACAAAGUAAACGCGUUUUCGGUUAGUAAAAAUACGAUAUUCUGAUAUUAAGACGAUCGCGACAUUUCCAGUAGUUUUACGCGUUUCCGCCGCUACGUAACGCGAGUACAAUGCCUUUGUUAAAAACAAAAAAAACAAAAACAAAAAAAAACACCUCGGCAUAAUAUUAUAUACUUACGCGUAGUUUCGCAAUAACGCCAUUGUCUUAUACGGUCCGGAUUGACAUUAUGUUUUUGAUAUUUUGUUUAUGGUGCUGAAAUGUAAUGCGAUUUAAUGCAGUGUCGUAGUUGUCGUUCGGGAAACGCGCUGGACCGUGGCGAAAACGGUUGGGUACUAGCUGUUAUACCGUCAGUUCGCACCGUGUUGCGUGAGCCCGUCGUCGGCAUCGUCGAAUGCGUGUAACCGCGGUCGAUGACAAUAAAAAAUAUGAUAAUUGUAUAAGCCUCGUGGAUAUAUUCGUUUUCGG